ACUAAACCAUAAUUAUCUUAAGGGCGCGUUUAGUUCAAGUUAUAUAAUAUUACAGAGUAUUUCGAUAUAUCUAGGUAUCUUGAAUUUCUAAAAGAGAAUACUAUUUAUAUUGCAUUAGCGCGUUUGGUUUAAUACAGUAAUAUAAUGCUGGAUUGCAGUGGUUAUAACAUUAAUAUGCUUGGUUCUAUCUAUAAAAUUCAAUAAUCUAGACAAUAAAAUAUAGUCUAUUCCAAAAUUGCCCUUAACCAUAUUUUGUAAACUUUUUUUUUACUAUUUACAAAUAAUAUUUUUUUACUAAAUUUUAUUUUAAAUAAUUUAUUUUUUAAAAAUUUAAAAUUUAAAAUUUAAAAUUAAAAUUUGAACAAAAAUAUAAAUUUAAUAUUUUAAUUUAAAAUAUAAAUAUGAAAUUUAUAAAUUUAAAAUNUUUGAAAUUUAAAAUCUAAAAUUUUAAACUUCAAGUUUAAAAUUUUUAAAAUUUUAAAUUUUAAAUUUCAAAUUUAAAAAUUAAAAUUUUAGAUUUUAAAUUUUAAAUUCUAAAAUUAAAAUUUAAAAUUUAAAAUUUAAAAUUUAAAAUUUAAAAUCUAAAAUUUAAAUUCAAAUUUAAAAUUUAAAUUUGAAGUAUAAAAAUUUAAAUUUAAAAUUUAAAAUUAAUUUUUUGAAAAUUAUAUAUUGAAGGGGUUUCGGGAGUUAGAGGGGAAAAAUUAUUAUUUUACAUAAUAUGUAGUAUUACCGGUUUUCAGUAAUGUAAGAUAUACAACCCCCCUCUCAUUAAUAUUUACUGUGUAAUCUUGCUCGAUUUGUAAUGCUACAUUAACGACCAGAUUACAUAGCGGAUGAACCAAACACAGUAAUUCUGGCAGGAUUGCCUAUAAUUCUGUUAGGAUAACUCGAACCAAACGCACCCUAAUAAG
rnacentral:lncRNA from 1 species